UAAGAUUGGUUUCAUGUUGAUGUAUUGUAUUUUAUUUUAUUUAUAGUCAGUUCAAGCUAAUACUUCAUAGCGAAAGAAUCAUUCUGUCAUUUGGCCCGAUUGUCAAAAGGCACAAAUACUCCGGAAGCUGGAAUUGGGGAAUCUACAGUCUUUUUGGCAAUCUAUAACAUCGCAACAUUGAAGUUAUUGCCUCAAGUAAGAGUAACAUCGACUGAUGGAUCACCAACUCUGAAUGAGAAACCAGAUUCAUUGCUGGAAUGCAUCCUGUCAUCCGGCAUGCCAAAUCUUCGACUGACUUAAGUCUCAAUUCCUCCCAAUUUGAGGCAGCUUCGCAUUGGACUCCAGAGGCUGUAACAUCGAUGUCGUUGGUGCGGCUGCCACUUCCAUUCAAUCAACAUCAUCUUGCUCUUCCGUUUGCUCUACUGAGCUGCGGAGGAGCAAAUGCUCAAAUCUGAGAACAUUGGUUAAUGGGACGACAUGAGUACUCCAGCUGGCUGCUGUUGUCUACGAAUCGCAUUGCAGAAUAGAUGAAUAGAUAGCAGUUUCAGUUCAGAAUCCACAGUGGGCUGUGUUUAAGCUUCCUUGUUGUCUUCACAAUCCGCUGCAAUAUUCUUCUGCUUCUCGGUAAAUUGGCGUGCACCGAGUUUUGCAGUAAGGCGCAUAGGAUGCAGAUGUAUGGAAUCCAGAGACACAGGCCAUACAUCUCCAAAGAAGCCUUCAGUGUGGAGUCUGUGAUCUUAAAGUUGAUUAAGUUUCUCUGAUGUCGACCCAGUGAUUCGAGAGUAUUAGUCCCUGAUGAUCUUCUUCAGCCAUUUUCUUAUUGUAAAAUUAGAAAAUAUUAACAAUACUUUAAUUUGUUAGCUCUCGCUAUGAAGUAUUAGCUUGAACUGACUAUAUUUCUAAAAUAUAAUACAAUACAUCAACAUAGGAA